AUGCCUCCCCGCUCUGAGCCAACGCGAGAGUCCUGGGGGCAGGCGUGGGGCCGGCGGUCGAAGAGGCUGGGACACUUGCCUCGGGCCGGGACACCUGCUUCCGGCUGGGGCCAGGACACCUGCCUUGGGCUGGGACACCUGGCUUGGGCCGGGACACCUGGCUUGGGCCGGGACACCUGCCUCUGGCUGGGACACCUGUUUGGGCCAGGACACCUGGCUCAGGCUGGGACAUCUGCUUCAGGCUCGGGCUGGGACACCUGGCCCCAGCCGAGGCACCUGGCUCCAGCUGGCUCAGGCUGGGACACUUGCCUUGGGCUUGGGCCGGGACACCUGCUUCGGGCUGGGACACCUGCUUCGGGCUCGGGCCAGGACACCUGCCUCUGGCUGGGACUCCUGCUUGGGCCAGGACACCUGGCUCAGGCCGGGACACCUGCUUGGGCCAGGACACCUGGCUCAGGCCGGGACACCUGUUUGGGCCAGGACACCUGGCUCAGGCUGGGACACCUGCUUCAGGCUCGGGCUGGGACACCUGGCCCCAGCCGAGGGACCUGGCUCCAGCUGGCUCAGGCUGGGACACUUGCCUCGGGCUUGGGCCGGGACACCUGCUUCGGGCUGGGGCCAGGACACUUGCCUCGGGCUGGGACACCUAGCUUGGGCCGGGACACCUGCUUCGGGCUCGGGCCAGGACACCUGCCUCCGGCUGGGACACCUGCUUGGGCCAGGACACCUGGCUCAGGCCGGGACACCUGCUUCAGGCUCGGGCUGGGACACCUGGCCCCAGCCGAGGCACCUGGCUCCGGCUGGGACACUUGCCUCGGGCUUGGGCCGGGACACCUGCUUCGGGCUGGGGCCAGGACACCUGGCUCAGGCUGGGGCACCUGCUUCAGGCUCGGGCUGGGACACCUGGCUCUGGCCGAGACACCUGCUUCGGGCUCGGGCCGGGACACCUGCCUCCGGCUGGGACACCUGGCUCGGGCCGGGGGCACGGAGGGCGCGCGGACGUGCCGGAGCCGAGGGGGUCUAACAGCGCCCUGCGAACACCUGGGGGAGGAGCUGUUCCCUCCUAACGCGGGGAGACAGAGCUCCCGGAUCCGGGCGGGAGGCGGCGGGCGGCGGGCGGCGGGCGACGAGCCACGAGCCACGAGCCACGGCCGACCCUCCCGCGGCGCACACGCCCCCAACCUCAGGACGCCGCGCCCGCCGCGCCGCGCGCACCACGCCCCCGCCCCCACCGGAAGCGGCUCCGGCCGCCCCUCCCCCACCGGAAGUGGGGCGCCCCCGUUCGGGCGGCCUCAAGCCGAGCCGAACCGGCCACAACGGCCAAAGGAGACGGCGUUGGGGGGGCGCGGGGCCGCUCGGCCGUGGCCACCCCGCAGCCCGCCCUGCUUACCGGCCUGCUGGCGGCAGGGGCAGGCGGGGACGGGGCCCGCAGAGGCCCCCGCACGGAGGACAGUCCCCUGA
rnacentral:lncRNA from 12 species